CUUUAACGGAUCAGACAUUAGAAAUAUUGACACAUCAUUAAUAUGCAGUUGCUUUGGAGUCACCUGUUUCUCCUGGGUGUAGUACUGGUCCGGUCCACUUCAAGAGCAGAAUACCCAUUACAUACGACAACAAGACCCCCUAUGAGCACAAGAACCCCUACAGACAUAAGAUCCUCUACAGACACAGGAUCACAGCCAAACGAGAACCAGAAGGUCGUUACCACAGCCAAUGACACUCCCACACCCGCUAACACAUCCUCACUCAACUGCACCCAGAGGACUUCCACAGCCCCGCCGCCCACGACCCCGGUCAUAACGGACUCCACCCACACCAGCAGCAAUGCCACGGGUGGCGACAACCCGUCCCAGGACCAGACCACGGUCGUACCCCCGUCAACCGAACCCACUUCGACCGUUACCACAGGGACACCGCAGCUGGUGCAAACCAUCGGCCAAUCAGAGGCAAAGGUGACCACUGCCGCGGGGACAGAUGUCGUUCAGACCACCAUGACAGGCGCACGACAGGGAUCCAGUGAUGCAAUAGAGAUACUCGUUUGACCUGCAACGACCAGGUUACGACCAUGAGACCCCGCUCACUGGCAUGGAACAACCCGGAACCUUUGAACCCACCAAAGAGAAGGCUGGAGGGUUUGAGAGCAUUAGCCAGGGUGGGGCUGAGGGCAGGGCUGAGGAAGACCCCCAGACCCCGGUGCCCAACGGGUCGGCUGGGGAGCCCGACGCCACCAUGUCCCCUGGAGAGAACGCAAUAGAGAAGAAGGAUGAUGAUGAUGAUGAAGACAUCUUCAAUCUCUGCUCUGAGAUCAGUCUGACUCCACCAGUGAAGAGGGUGGGCUUUAGCUUGGACCUGGACCUGAGUGACAAGCUGUCAAACAAGUCAGACGCUGGAGACAAGGAGCAGAAUGCCAACAACAAUAAUGUUGCUAUGGCAAUUUUCCCUGACACUCUUGGCCUGACCUUUGACCCCAUGGGUUCAGUUGGUGUUUUCAGUGACAUCAGUCUGGAUGUAUAGACAGACAGACAGACACACACACCUAAAUUAGUCAGUGGGUAAAAAGGUUCCUCUAUGCCCUAUUUUUUGUAACAUCUCAUCAGGAGCAUGCCCAGAUGUUGUCAGGCAUGCCUACAGGCAUGUGGGGACCAUACACACUACUGAGUAACAAUGUGUUGCCGUGAUGAAAUUCACAGUAGUUACUUUAGCUUUUUGAGUGUGAAUCCAUUCCUCAAUCGGUUGGUGAUUUUGGCUUUCAUUGACCAUUUUUACGUUAUUAUGUUCUCAAUGAAAUACACAAUGUACAGUGAAACUUAGGAUCCUUCAUGUAAUCCCUUCAUCGAGACACCGUGUGAUUUUAGUAAUCCCUUCAUUUUUUUAAAUACUUUUUUUGUGGGUGUUUUUAUGUUAAACAUGAAUUGCAACAAAAGCGGACAAUUUCGGUGUGGUUCUCUUUCAGAAUAAAGUUUUUU
ensembl:lncRNA